GUACCGACCUGUGAGGGAAAAAUU
rnacentral:siRNA from 1 species